GAUGAACGCUGGCGGCGUGCCUAAUACAUGCAAGUCGAGCGAACAGACGAGGAGCUUGCUCCUCUGACGUUAGCGGCGGACGGGUGAGUAACACGUGGAUAACCUACCUAUAAGACUGGGAUAACUUCGGGAAACCGGAGCUAAUACCGGAUAAUAUAUUUAACCGCAUGGUUCAAUAGUGAAAGACGGUUUUGCUGUCACUUAUAGAUGGAUCCGCGCCGCAUUAGCUAGUUGGUAAGGUAACGGCUUACCAAGGCAACGAUGCGUAGCCGACCUGAGAGGGUGAUCGGCCAAACUGGAACGGAGACACGGUCCAGACUCCUACGGGAGGCAGCAGUAGGGAAUCUUCCGCAAUGGGCGAAAGCCUGACGGAGCAACGCCGCGUGAGUGAUGAAGGUCUUCGGAUCGUAAAACUCUGUUAUUAGGGAAGAACAAAUGUGUAAGUAACUAUGCACGUCUUGACGGUACCUAAUCAGAAAGCCACGGCUAACUACGUG
rnacentral:rRNA from 1 species